UACGGGGGGGGCAAGCGUUGUUCGGAAUUACUGGGCGUAAAGGGCUCGUAGGUGGCCAACUAAGUCAUACGUGAAAUCCCUCGGCUUAACCGGGGAACUGCGUCUGAUACUGGAUGGCUUGAGGUUGGGAGAGGGAUGCGGAGUUCCAGGUGUAGCGGUGAAAUGCGUAGAGAUCGGGAGGAACACCAGAGGCGAAAGCGGCAACCUGGACAAGCACUGACACUCAACUACGAAAGCGUGGGGAGCAAACAGG
rnacentral:rRNA from 1 species